rnacentral:lncRNA from 1 species
AAAAAAGCACCUCUCCUUCCAAGCCGAUUACAGCCCCAUUUGCUCCUACUCCUCACGCUGUUUAGUGUCUUUUCUUUCUUUGUUUGUUUGUUUUGGGGUGGAGGGGAACCUGUUUCUUCUGGGGGUAGACCACCAGCGAUUCGUACCUCCUCAGAAGAAUUGCUACCCCGAAUCUGCACAAUUUAGAAGAAUGCGCCGACGGCUGCUGGGGUGGGAGCAGAGAGAUGCAGCGGGACCAGCCACAGAGUUCUGGCAUCAGAUUGUAGCUUGACUGUCUAGUGUACUAGGAAAAAAUCAGAACUGCAUUAUGGGAUGAAGAUGUACUUCCUUGACUGCACCGUGCAUCCCCAUACAGACACUUGGUCAGAUCACUUAUUUUCUUCAGGCUCUUCUGUAGUGGUGGUGAAAUCAGAUGAAGUAAAGAUGAAUGAAAACAUUAAGAAGAGCCAUCUGAACAGAGAAGAUGAAAAACAAUUGGAAAGGAGAAAGGGAACAAAGGAUGACAACAUUUGACGAUCAAGGACCCUCACUAAGUUAGUUACACAGGAGGUGGAUCUCAGCUCUCUAGAGGCCCAGAAUAAUGUUGUACCCUCUUGACCAAGUCAAAAACUUAGCAUAAUCACAUAAGACCGGCUCAUCAACUGGGAAAAAAACACUGUUGAAUUCCAAGAGGAUUCUCUGUUUUAAAACAAUUGAGAAAUUGGACAAUAAUUUGUACCUGCAAAGAAAAAAAGACAUUUUAAAAGGGAUUGAUUAAACAGUGCCACUUUUUCUUCCCUUGCAUGCAGGUAUCUUGGUCUUGCAGCUAGUCUUCUGCUGAAGGGGAAAUCAAUGACUCCAUAUAAGGGUUUAGCUCAUAUAAUGUAUUGAUAUUUUAUAUGUCAGUUUUUUAACAGAACUGAUCAAAUCAGAAUUUGGACAAUUCCAAUUUCAGAAACUUCAACCCACUUCACUGUAUGCAAUUCUGUGUUAAGUUAGAAAAGCUAUGAUGGAAAAAACCCUUCCUGAGCUGUUUGCCACAGCUCCCCACAAAGGAACUGCAGCAAAGAUCUAAGGAUGAUGCAGCAUUUCUAAAAAGAGAAACUUGCCACUACUCCAGUGGUGUUGGCAACUCCUGAGGUUGUGUGUGAGUGCCAUCUGCUGACCCCUGUCAUGGGAAAACAAAGCAAAACCCACUGAUCUCACUGUUCCUCUAGGUCUGCAAAUGUUCCCCACCAUAUUGAGAGCAAACCUGUUAACCUUCCCCAUAAUGCAAUACAUUCUCUAAGGCAGCUGUUUUCUCCAGCUAUUCCCACUUAUUGUCUACCCCUAAGAGCUCAUAAUUG